rnacentral:rRNA from 1 species
AUUGAACGCUGGCGGCAGGCCUAACACAUGCAAGUCGAGCGGAUGAAGGGAGCUUGCUCCUGGAUUCAGCGGCGGACGGGUGAGUAAUGCCUAGGAAUCUGCCUGGUAGUGGGGGAUAACGUCCGGAAACGGGCGCUAAUACCGCAUACGCCCUGAGGGAGAAAGUGGGGGAUCUUCGGACCUCACGCUAUCAGAUGAGCCUAGGUCGGAUUAGCUAGUUGGUGGGGUAAAGGCCUACCAAGGCGACGAUCCGUAACUGGUCUGAGAGGAUGAUCAGUCACACUGGAGCUGAGACACGGUCCAGACUCCUACGGGAGGCAGCAGUGGGGAAUAUUGGACAAUGGGCGAAAGCCUGAUCCAGCCAUGCCGCGUGUGUGAAGGAGGUCUUCGGAUUGUAAAGCACUUUAAGUUGGGAGGAAGGGCAGUAAGUUAAUACCUUGCUGUUUUGACGUUACCAACAGAAUAAGCACCGGCUAACUUCGUG